AAGAAAGCAGAAACUUUUGAAAGCAAACUCAAAGAAAAUAUGGUACCAAAGCACAACUAAUGGAGAGUACAACAAAAGAAUGCCUUUUUCCAUGUAGCGAGAGACCAGAUAGCAGUGGAAAAGUAAAAAUAUCGAAAUUUCGACUCAAUUGUUAAUACGAAACAUGAACUUUAUCAUGUCUUCAGUGUGCGGGUCAUUCGUCACACCUUGGAAAAGUUUGAAGAUGAGUGAACGACUUUGAAUCUUAAGCCAUCAAACAGGCAGAGAUUGGUAAUAAGUGAGGAAGACAUAGGCGGAGAAGUGACACUAAUUUAUAACCAGCCAAGGACUGUUACCCCGCAGCAUUCUCCUAGCACAAUGUUACAACAACCCAGAAAUGCCGAUCGGCAUCCAAAAAAUAGCUUAACGAUCCUUUCUUGGGCUCAGCGAAAUAGAGAUAAAAAAUUGUUGCUAUCCUUAAAUCUCACGAAUGUAUCUGACUAAAAAAACAAGGCAUUACACGAGAACAGCGGUAGUAAAGCGGCACUAGUCGCUAACUAGCCUUAUUUCAAUCGAAAUACUCAACCAGUUCGACAACAACAACAACAAUCUAUUAGUGUUCGACCAAGCCUCAAUGAAUCCACAAAGAUUCAAUAUUUAAUACGUUUUAUGACGUGAAUUUUACUUCUUUCGAAAUGAGGAAAAGUGCACCGUUAUCUUCAAUGGUACUCAAUGUAGAGCUAUGUUAGCCGACUUUCUGUGGUUCCAACAAGACGACGUAGAGCUCGAAGUUGUGGAGGAGAAAUUUAGCGACGCGGUGAGGUACGGUACACUAGACAGAGCUAGUUUACUGGGGCGGUAGCCCUUGGUCGGGAAAUACCCGAGUCAUUCCGGUAACGUAGAACCGGCUCCCAGGGGAAUGAACCCAACCUGUCGAAACAACAAGUUUCCUGGGCCUACCGUUAGAUGAGGUAGACGAAGACGACCGAUGAUUAUGCUACACUGACAGGGCAUAGUUACUGCUACAACAACAACAAGCUGACCAUUUUAUUUCUAUGCUAUUCCAUAUGUAAUAAUUUGAAUGUUACUUUAAAAUGAAUCCAGAAUUAAGUUGUCGAUUAUUAAAAUGUUAUUUUAUUUAAAUCUCU